rnacentral:rRNA from 1 species
CCUACGGGAGGCAGCAGUAGGGAAUCUUCCACAAUGGGCGAAAGCCUGAUGGAGCAACGCCGCGUGGGUGAAGAAGGUCUUCGGAUCGUAAAACCCUGUUGUUAGAGAAGAACGUGCGUGAGAGUAACUGUUCACGUUUCGACGGUAUCUGCACAGAAAGCCACGGCUAACUACGUGCCAGCAGCCGCGGUAAUACGUAGGUGGCAAGCGUUAUCCGGAUUGAUUGGGCGUAAAGGGAACGCAGGCGGUCUUUUAAGUCUGAUGUGAAAGCCUUCGGCUUAACCGGAGUAGUGCAUUGGAAACUGGGAGAAUUGAGUGCAGAAGAGGAGAGUGGAACUCCAGGUGUAGCGGUGAAAUGCGUAGAUAUAUGGAGGAACACCAGUGGCGAAAGCGGCUCUCUGGUCUGUAACUGACGCUGAGGUUCGAAAGCGUGGGUAGCAAACAGGAUUAGAUACCCCGGUAGUC